UAGAUAAGGCUUCAGCCAAUGGAAGUACCUACCCCCCAGAAGCAGCCUUUCAGUGUUCGACCCGCUGGGACUAGGGUCUCCAUUCGUGCUGAGAGCUAAGUUAAUCCUGCAAGAGCUCUGGAGACAGCAGUACGAUUGGGAUGAUGACAUAACCAGACCACUUCUCGAUGCUUGGGAAAAUUGGAAGCAUGAGAUGACCGAUCUACGAAACUUCUCUGUUCCCCGGUGUUAUCUCAAGUCAACUGAAGAAAUCACUAGCACUCAGAUCCACAUUUUUGCAGAUGCGUCAGAAGAAGCCUUUGGAGCAGUGGCAUACCUUCGACACAGGCUCUAAGUGGUAACAUUGAAUGUUCAUUUGUUCUUGGAAAUGCCAGACUAGCACCCCUCAAGUCACUAAGUAUCCCUUGACUUGAGCUCCAAGCAGCAGUUAUGGCGGUCAGAAUGUCGCAAGCGAUAACCAAGGAAUUGGACAUCCCGCAGUCUCACGUUUUUACUGACUCGCAAAAUCAUAACAUUCAUCUCGCGAAAUCAUAACAUGCGAAAUCAUAACAUUCGAAAAAUUAUAUAUGCAGGGUACAUGGAGCUUUUUACCAAUCCCGUGGCUCGUUACAUUUGAACCAAACGACAACCAGCAAUAAGAAAUCGCUUCACUCCGGCGGCUGGUGCGCGGGGGGUCUAAACAAGCUUUCUGUCGGUAAUUUGCAGACGGUUAUAAUGGAACUAUGUCCGGCUGCACGCAGGCUAUCACGAUGGCAGUCCAUCUCGAGAUUGCUCACUUGAUGAUGACAGACAGCUUCAUUAUGGCAUUGAGAAGGUUUACGGGAUGUAGGGGAAACCCUAAACAUACCUACAGCGGCGGGGGAGAGGGAAAACAUGUGUGGCUGACUGGGAUUACGUUGGUAAUAAUCACGGACGGGAAAGGCUGGUACGAUGACUCAGUGCUGGACGCGGCUCUCGCAGGUCUCACCUCACCUCACCUUACAAAACCUCACCUCACCUUACAAAACCUCACCUCACCUCACCUCUCUAAAAUAGCUACUCUCAUAACUUGCUUUCAGACUUUGGGCAGGAAAAUUCGGGCACUCGCUGUUGAAAGUGAUUCGAUGCUUGGCUUGGAUAGACUCCAGUCGAUCUGCACUCGACAACGUCGUUAAAGUCGCGGAUUAAGAAAGUUGGUCCAGAUGGCCUCUGCUGUAAACCACGUUCAUGUUUCCAAGAGAGUCUAUCACAAGAAAAGAAAGAAAGAAAACAAAUUUCUCGCGGAUAUUAUAUCAUAGAUACUUAUCAGAUGUACACUCUGUUUGUAGUGAUUAUUUUAAUUAUCUCUUUAUUUGAAAUUCAAUCUAUCAAGUUCACAGCUGCAGAUUAAUUUUGGCCGCAAGGCCGCAAUAGACAUUGUGCAAGUGCAAGUUGCAGGUUGUAUUUUAAUUUGGUUUCUGUCUGAUCGCUAAAAUUACAUGAAUUAUUUGCCUAUAUAUCUAUCUAUCAAAAGACAUCAGCCUGUGUCUUAAGCGGGCUCUUUUUCUAAAAUCUUCUCUAGAAUUUAAACUAUGAUUUCUAGAAAUUUAAUAAAGGUUCUCAAGUAAAUACUAGCACCCUUCACCAAGAAUGGAAUUCUAAAAUGGAAUAGCCCAGUGCAAAGAUAUCUAAGUCAAGCUGCACAUCCAUAAAACUCCGCUCUCAUAGUGAUAUGAUCAUACCAAGCCUGAACUACAACCCUGACGAAACGCGCUUUGAUGAAAGGGGAGAACUCGUUCUUCACCACAGUGGUACGGUCUGAGUUACCAGGGAAAAUCUGUAAAAAAAAAAGCUCAAAAUAUAAUACCAACAACGACAACAUAAAA